rnacentral:rRNA from 2 species
CGUACAAGGUUUCCGUAGGUGAACCUGCGGAAGGAUCAUUG